ensembl:lncRNA
CUGAAAUGGACACGAAGCGCAGAGUCCUAUGGGUGCUGGGAACAGCACUAAAUUUAGCAAAACUGUAGCUGGUGGGGGGCCGGCCUGUAGUGAGCCAAACCCAGCCCCGAGUGGGCUAGAUUUACAGUCAGCAGCGUAGCGAGCGUCAUCUGCGCUUGGGCAAGCCUGUGGUCACUCGGGAUCUUUCCAUCCCUAAGGCCUGGGCACUUGGCUCUAGUCCUGCAGGCUCCCUGGCUCUGCCCUGUGACACUUGGGUCUACCGCCACCACCCCUCGGGGUUGGCCUUCCGUCCGUCCCUGCCUCGUGUGUCUGGAGUUCCCCUCCAGCACCUUUGCCCUGACCUGCACAGUCUUCCUAUGCCUCUUGGCCAGUGUUGCCAGCCUUCAUUCCCAAGGCCCUGGAGAGAAGGACCUGUCUGUUGCUGUUCAGUCACUCUGCCACGUCCGAUUCUCUCUGACCCCACGGACUGCAGCACGCCAGGCCUCCCUGUCCUUCACCAUCUCCCGGCGUUUGCUCAGACUCAUGUCCAUCGAGUCCGGAUCCAGCCAUCUCAUCCUCUGUCAUCCCCUUCUCCUCCAGCCUUCCAUCUUUACCAGCAUCAGAGUCUUUUCCAGUGAGUCAGCUCUUUGCAUCAUGUGGCCAAGCCAUUGGAGCUUCAGCUUCAGCAUCAGUCCUUCCAGUGAGUAUUCAAGUUGAUUUCCUUUAGGAUUGACUGGUUGGAUCUCCUUGCUAUCCAAGGGACUCUCAAGAGUCUUCUCUAGCACCAUGGUUCAAAAGCAUCAAUUCUUUGGCACUCAGCCUUUGGUCAAUUUUUCACAGGGCAUCUGGCCAUCUUAGGACACCUUUUGGACCAGAUUGUUGAGUGGAGGAAACUUUGUAACCGACAUAUAAUACGCAUACAGAAAAAUAAGCAAAUCGUAAGUAUUGGGCACAAAGUGCCCACAGCCUGUAAGCAGCACCCACGUCAAGCCAAGGAACAGAACAUACCAGACCUCGUUCCAGAACAUGCCUUGAGCUUCUUUCCAGCUCCUGACCGCCUUUCCAAGGGUAGCCACUAUUUUGACUGCUAAAAUGACAGAUUAGUUUUGCCUGCUUUUCAGCUUUAUAGAAAUGUAAUCACGCAUUUUGGCCACCUGAUGCAAAGAGCUGACUCAUUAGAAAAGACCCUGAUGCUGGGAGAGACUGAAGGCCGGAGGAGAAUGGGGAGACAGAGGAUGAAACGGUCGGAUGGCAUCACCGACUCGAUGGACAUGAGUCUGUGCAAACUCAGGGAGGUAAUGAAGGACAGAGAAGACUGCCGUGCUUCAGUCCACAGGGUCACAAAGAAUCGGACACGACUUUGCUGCUGAACAACAACAACGGUCACGCAGCGUGUUCUCUCUUGUGUUCAGCCACUUUCAUUCACCCUUUUGUCUGUGACGUUCAUCCAUGCUGUGUGCUGUUGUUGUUUCCUGCUCUUGUGUCUGUGUAGUAUUCCAUUUUAUUAAUAGAACACAGUUUAUUGUUUGUUCUGUGGUUGCUGAGUAUUCUGGCUGUGCGUAGAGUUUGAAACAGUGUUCCUAUGAAUAUGUUCGCAUGUGUCUUUUGGUGGAUGAAUGUAUGCGUGCAGUCACGUCUCUGUGCAUGUAUGCAUAAUUUGUGUGUGUGUCUCUGUUGGGUACGCACCUAGGAAUGGACCUGCUGGAUCGUAGUCUUAGUUGUUGUUGAUCGGUUGCCAAGUUGUGUCCGACUCUCUGCAACCCCAUGCACGCCAGGCUUCCCUGUCCUUCACUAUCUCCUGGAGUUUGCUCGAACUCAUGUCCAUUCGGUGAUGCCAUCCAACUAUCUCAUCCUCUGGAGCUCCCUUCUCCUGUCCUCAAUCUUUGACAGCAUCGGGGUCUUUUCCAAUAAAUUGGCUCGUAUCACAUCAGGUGGUCAAAGCAUUGGAGCUUCGGCUUUGGCCUCAGUCCUUCCAAUAAAUAUUCCUGGUGGAUUUCCUUUAGGAUUGACUGUUUUGAUCUUGCUGUUCAAGGGACUCUCAAGAGUCUUCUCCAGCACCACAGUUUGGAAGCAUCAGUUCUUUGGUGCUCAGCCUUCUUUAUGGUCGAACUCUCACAUCCGUACAUGACUACUGGAAUAAUCAUGGUACAGAGUGCCGAGCAGUGGUACAGUUAUACUUCCACUAGCAAAGUAGGAAAGUUCUGGUUGUUCCAUGCCCUUGCCAGGAUUUGGUGUCAUCCUCUUUCUUCAUUGUACUCUUUCUAGUGGGUCUGAAGUAAUACUGGACUGUGGUCUGAAUUUGCCUUUCCGUGACUGGCCAUUUUAGUAUCCUCAUUUUUGUGAAGUGCCUGUUAGGGUAGUUUACUGUUUUUUCUAUUGAAUUCCCUGUCUUCUUUGUAUUGGUUUGUUGAAAGCUCUGCAUAAUCCAUUGUUGAAUAUACGCAUCGCACAUAUUUCCUCACUUGCCUAGCUUUUGAUAUCCAUUCCUUUGGUGUUAUUCCUGAGGUUAAUCCUUAGGAAACCUUUGGAUUAUAUAUAGUACUCUGCAUGGGGAUAUUUUAUUCUUUGUUACUGAUGUUGACAUUGGGGCUACAUUCUGCCAGUAACUUGUCUACAGAGGUAGUAUCAUGGUAUUGGUUGUAUAGGGUGGGACAGGGACUCUCGAAGUUCUUGGUGUAUGGAGGUGUUGGCACCUUGGAGAUCAUAUUAAAGUAAAAACUGCUCACGUCCAAGUGCGUGCAGUGUGCCGUAUCUUCUAAGCUUUUACAUGGACUCUUAUUCCUCAUACAUGCUUGUUAUUACCCCACUGGUUACUAUUUCUAGUGUCUAACGGUGUGUGUGUGCUCAGUUGUGUCCAACUCUUUGCGACUGCGUGGAUUGUAGCCCACCAGGCUCCUCCAUCCAUGGGAUUCUCCAGGCCAGAAUACUGGAGUGGGCAACCAUUUCCUUCUCCAGGAAGGAGAUCUUUCCCACCCAGGGAUCAAACCCAUGUCUCCUGCAUUGGCAGGCGGGUUAUCCAUCACUCUUACCCGCAUUUUCAAGUGAGGAAACUGAGGCUCCGCGAGGUCUUAUAAUUACUGAGGGUCACAUAACUGAGAGUUUGGAUGCGGAGCUCAUGCCCGGUAAUCAAUUGUACUGCGUAGGAAACUGCAGUUCCUAAAAUCGAUAAUUUAUUAGGAUGCCUGGCACAUAAUAAGUGCUCUAUAAAUACCUGUUGAGUGACAGGGUUUGACAGUGGUGAGUUGGAUGACGGCUUUGUCCGGUAGGGAGGUUGGCUGGCAGUAGGGUAUGUCAUGUUCCAUCCUGAUGUACCCCUUGCCUAGAGCAGUGCCCAUCACAUGUAGACAUUGUGGUGGACAUUUGUGGAGUGAAGGACUCGGUUACAGACAGGCUAUAAAUUCUGCUUUGCAGAAGGGGUGCAUUCAGAGGAUGCUGCAGGGAGGGCCCUGGGGCCCAGACGGGCACAUCAGGAGGGGCCGUGGUUAGGGCCCCAGGAGAAUUCAGAGUCCAGCUCACGGCCUCCUGGUGUCCAGCCGCAGGGCAGCCCAGCUCGCGGAGGCAGGCCGGGGGCCAGUGUCAGCAGGCAGGCCUGUCCCAGUUACAGGCUGUUGGGU